GCCCCGGUAAACGGCGGCCGUAACUAUAACGGUCCUAAGGUAGCGAAAUUCCUUGUCGGGUAAGUUCCGACCUGCACGAAUGGCGUAAUGAUGGCCAGGCUGUCUCCACCCGAGACUCAGUGAAAUUGAACUCGCUGUGAAGAUGCAGUGUACCCGCGGCAAGACGGAAAGACCCCGUGAACCUUUACUAUAGCUUGACACUGAACAUUGAGCCUUGAUGUGUAGGAUAGGUGGGAGGCUUUGAAGUGUGGACGCCAGUCUGCAUGGAGCCGACCUUGAAAUACCACCCUUUAAUGUUUGAUGUUCUAACGUUGGCCCGUAAUCCGGGUUGCGGACAGUGUCUGGUGGGUAGUUUGACUGGGGCGGUCUCCUCCUAAAGAGUAACGGAGGAGCACGAAGGUUGGCUAAUCCUGGUCGGACAUCAGGAGGUUAGUGCAAUGGCAUAAGCCAGCUUGACUGCGAGCGUGACGGCGCGAGCAGGUGCGAAAGCAGGUCAUAGUGAUCCGGUGGUUCUGAAUGGAAGGGCCAUCGCUCAACGGAUAAAAGGUACUCCGGGGAUAACAGGCUGAUACCGCCCAAGAGUUCAUAUCGACGGCGGUGUUUGGCACCUCGAUGUCGGCUCAUCACAUCCUGGGGCUGAAGUAGGUCCCAAGGGUAUGGCUGUUCGCCAUUUAAAGUGGUACGCGAGCUGGGUUUAGAACGUCGUGAGACAGUUCGGUCCCUAUCUGCCGUGGGCGCUGGAGAACUGAGGGGGGCUGCUCCUAGU
rnacentral:rRNA from 1 species